CCUACGGGUGGCAGCAGUGGGGGAUAUUGCACAAUGGGGGGAACCCUGAUGCAGCGCCGCCGCGUGGGUGACGAAGCGCCUCGGCGCGGCAAGCGCUGUCAGCAGGGAAGAAAAUGACGGUAACUGAAGAAGAAGCCCCGGCUAACUACGUGCCAGCAGCCGCGGUAAUACGUAGGGGGCAAGAGUUAUCCUGAUUUACUGGGUGUAAAGGGGGCGCAGACGGCGAUGCAAGCAAGGAGUGAAAGACCGGGGCCACACCCCGGGACGGCUCUUGGAACUGCGUGGCUGGAGUGAAGGAGAGGCAGGCGGAAUUCCUGGUGGAGCGGUGAAAUGCGUAGAUAUCAGGAGGAACACCGGUGGCGAAGGCGGCCUGCUGGACUGCAACUGACGUUGAGGCCCGAAAGCGUGGGGAGCAAACAGGAUUAGAUACCCGAGUAGUC
rnacentral:rRNA from 1 species